rnacentral:rRNA from 1 species
GACGGGCAUGCGUGCCAUUAGAUAGUUGGCGGGGCGACGGCCCACCAAGUCGACGAUGGCUAGGGGAUCUGAGAGGACGGUCCCCCACACUGGUACUGAGACACGGACCAGACUCCUACGGGAGGCAGCAGUAGGGGAUAUUGGUCAAUGGGGGGAACCCUGAACCAGCCAUGCCGCGUGAGGGAGUGAGGCCCUACGGGUCGUGAACCUCUUUUGCCGGGGGAUAAGGGCGUCCACGCGUGGGCGUUUGAAGGUACCCGGAGAAUAAGCAUCGGCUAACUCCGUGCCAGCAGCCGCGGUAAUACGUAGGUGGCGAGCGUUAUCCGGAUUUAUUGGGCGUAAAGGGUGCGUAGGCGGUAUGUUAAGUAUAAAAUAAAAGCCCGAAGCUUAACUUCGGUUCGUUUUAUAAACCGGCAAACUAGAGUACAGUAGAGGCAAAUGGAAUUCCUAGUGUAGUGGUAAAAUGCGUAGAAAUUAGGAGGAACACCAGUGGCGAAGGCGAUUUGCUGGGCUGUAACUGACGCUGAGGCACGAAAGCGUGGGGAGCAAAUAGGAUUAGAUACCCUAGUAGUCCACGCCGUAAACGAUGAGUACUAAGUGUCGGGAAACCGGUGCUGAAGUUAACACAUUAAGUACUCCGCCUGAGUAGUACGGUCGCAAGGCUGAAACUCGAAGGAAUUGACGGGCACCCGCACAAGCGGUGGAGCAUGCUGUUUAAUUCGAAACUACGCGAAGAACCCUACCUAGAUUUGACAUCCUCGGCGAAGCUAUAGAAAUAUAGUGGAGGCUAUCCGAGUGACAGGUGGUGCAUGGUUGUCGUCAGCUCGUGUCGUGAGAUGUUUGGUUAAGUCCAAUAACGAGCGCAACCCUUUUCCUAAGUUGCUAACAGUAAGAUGAGAACUCUUAGGAUACUGCCAGUGCAAACUGGAGGAAGGUGGGGAUGAGGUCAAAUCAUCAUGCCCCUUACAUCUAGGGCUACAGGCGUGCUACAAUGGCCGAUACAAAGAGUUGCGACACAGUGAUGUGAAGCUAAUCUCGAAAGUCGGUCCCAGUCCGGAUUGGAGUCUGCAACUCGACUCCAUGAAGUUGGAAUCGCUAGUAAUCCCGAAUCAGAAUGUCGGGGUGAAUA